CUUUGUACAAAAUAAGGUUAGUGUACUUAAAAUGGACCAAACUAAUGUAAUAAAUAUUGUUACUAUGCUCUUGUUUAACAUGAAAACGUUUAUCAACCGACAACAGCUGGGGCUCAGGUCUCUGCUGAUAUUUUGUGGGUCACAGCUGAAAAGUUUAGGAACCACUUCUAUAUAUUUUCAGUUCCCUUUCAGCUGAUUUCACCAGUGUUUGGAGAAGACGUGGCGCCAUCUGCUGGUCAACUCUGUUUAAUCCACUCUGCUCUUUUCUAUAACAAAAGAAAACCUUGUAUUUUACAGCUCAUUUUGAACAUUUAGAAACAACACAACAGGUCUUUUUGAAUAAAACGAAUGAAUAAAAUAAAACCAUGGCUCGUUUAUUGUUUCGAAGGAAGCAACGCAGCAGUUUAAGGAAUCACUUCACUCUUUAUUGGAAUGAAAUUAAUAAUUUUGACACUUCAGUGUUUUGCUUGUUUGUCUCCGGAGAACAAGCCGGUCAGGACAAAGUGACUCUCCACUUUAAAUCUGCUUUUUAAAUGUCAAACAGCUGUUGUUUCUAUAAAUAUGUGUUGGUGUUUGUUUGAAAAUGAUUUUUUUUUUUUUAGUUUGACUUCGCUCGACAGUGAAAAGGCAGAUUUAUGAAGUUGUCACCUUCAGAUUCAGAGAUUAAAAAUAAAAAUCCAUUCACUCGUGUGUGAGCUGGGCUUUCUUCUACGCAUGCUCAGGAACUAAAACAGGUUCUAAUGGUUCCAGUCACCUCUGCAGACACYCUUUGAAAACAAGGAUGGUGGAAACUACAGAGAAUAUUCAUAGUCUUUAUAGAGUCUUCACCUAUCAGUACUUUUACAGCAACACAGUUUAAGCAGAUAUUAACACGUUGUACAGAUUUACUGAGGGAAACUCCCAGGAGGACGUCGCCAACCGAAGCCUCGAGGCGCCAAAAGCGGGACAAAAUUAAGACGUAGAGCUGUCGACGUGGAUUAACUGGUUGAGAAUCAACAGUUUUAUGGCAACGGUUAAAUAUUUUGCAUCUAGAACUAUUAGGGUGAUAAUUAACAGAUUUUAAAUUAUAACAAAGACUCAAAAUGCAACAUUCUACCUGCAGGAUCAGUAAUUAGUAGCUAUUUUUGGACACAAAUGGUCACAGGUCUGCAGAUGUUUCCUUCAUCUACAAAUAAAACCCAUCCAGUCUUAAUUACCGUCCAUUCUUUCAGCGCCACAAAGCCUCGAAUCACUGACGCCUCGUUUCUCGACACGCUCGGUUAAAAUAAAGAAAACGAAUCAAAUGUUCUGAUGUUCUCUCAGGAAGUGAGGUGGGCUUUGGAAAAGGUUUUCACCCCUGAAUUAACGUCCGUGRCGUUGUUCUGCACCAACGAUGCUCACAAAGUGGGUAAAAGUAUUCAGCAUGCUGUUGUGUGUAUUUACAACACUGAUGGUUACAGAGAAGGUGAAGGUACUCGGAGUUACUGACAGGAACGGGUACUCAGAGUUACUGACAGGAACGGGUACUCAGAGUUACUGACAGGAACGUGUACUCAGAGUUACUGACAGGAACGCGUACUCAGAGUUACUGACAGGAACGGGUACUCAGAGUUACUGACAGGAACGGGUACUCAGAGUUACUGACAGGAACGGGUACUCAGAGUUACUGACAGGAACGGGUAUUCAGAGUUACCGACAGGAACGGGUACUCAGAGUUACCGACAGGAACAGGUACUCUGAGUUACCGACAGGAACAGGUACUCAGUUACCGACAGGAACAGGUACUCAGUUACCGACAGGAACAGGUACUCAGUUACCGACAGGAACAGGUACUCAGUUACCGACAGGAACAGGUACUCAGUUACUGACAGGAACAGGUACUCGGAGUUACUGACAGGAACAGGUACUCAGUUACUGACAGGAACAGGUACUCGGAGUUACUGACAGGAACAAGUACUCAGUUACUGACAGGAACAGGUACUCGGAGUUACUGACAGGAACAGGUACUCAGUUACUGACAGGAACAGGUACUCUGAGUUACUGACAGGAACAGGUACUCGGAGUUACUGACAGGAACAGGUACCCGGAGUUACUGACAGGAACAGGUACUCAGAGUUACUGACAGGAACAGGUACUCAGAGUUACUGACAGGAACAGGUACUCAGAGUUACUGACAGGAACAGGUACUCAGAGUUACUGACAGGAACAGGAAACAGUGUGCUGUCAUACCAAAGCAUUACUUAGAAUUAAUACAGUCAGCUAGUAAGCUUGACCUAAACAGGGUUUAAAUUACAGCUUUAUGGAAGUUUGAGACUUUAUUUUGUCGUGUUUUUGUUAAACCAGCCUUGCAGGUAAGCUAAUGUUGUAAAAAUCUAAUUAAACCCACAGUGAGAGAGGAGUAUUUAAAAUAUGAAGGCAGUAGUUGUGUCCCUCUAAACAUUUUUUUCUUACAGAUCCUGCAUCAAACACGGUCUGAACCUUAAUCUUAUAGUCUUAUACCUGUUUACCCAUAAUGCACAUGACCAGGGACGUCAUUAGCAAGAUAACAUCAGGCCUUUUUGGACAUGCUGUUUUUAAAAUAUAAGAUAAUUCUCAUAUUAGGCUCACGGUUUUGCAGAGAGAAGUUUCUGCAUGAAUUUGAACGAAUUCUGGACCAUUACCGGAGACAACGGGUCUAGUUUAAAC